rnacentral:rRNA from 1 species
AACGAACGCUGGCGGCAGGCUUAACACAUGCAAGUCGAGCGCCCCGCAAGGGGAGCGGCAGACGGGUGAGUAACGCGUGGGAACGUGCCCUUUGGUUCGGAACAACUCCGGGAAACUGGAGCUAAUACCGGAUAAGCCCUUCGGGGGAAAGAUUUAUCGCCAAAGGAUCGGCCCGCGUCUGAUUAGCUAGUUGGUGAGGUAAUGGCUCACCAAGGCGACGAUCAGUAGCUGGUCUGAGAGGAUGAUCAGCCACACUGGGACUGAGACACGGCCCAGACUCCUACGGGAGGCAGCAGUGGGGAAUAUUGGACAAUGGGCGCAAGCCUGAUCCAGCCAUGCCGCGUGAGUGAUGAAGGCCUUAGGGUUGUAAAGCUCUUUUGUCCGGGAAGAUAAUGACUGUACCGGAAGAAUAAGCCCCGGCUAACUUCGUGCCAGCCGCCGCCGUAA